UCAUCAGAAAGGAUAGUCGUGACAUGUUCAUUUUCCAUGUUUGACAUAUUCAAUUGUGAAGAAUGGAUGAUUAGAUCCAAGUAUGUUGAGAUGUACGCACGUGAAGGUCCUUAUUUUCUCCCCUCUUGCUCGCCUCUAUUGUCGAUGAGUUGAAGAAGGUGGAAGUACAGAUGAGGCGUGCUUUGAUGGCAUGCUAGAUAGAGAUCAAUGUACAUGAAGACAGUGGUCAUGAAAUAGAAAUAGAAAUGCAUGGUUGAGUUAGUAGUACCUGGUUGUUGCUCCCGUAUGAUAGACGACAUGUAGCUUGAAAGUAAUGCUCCUUAAUGAAAGUUAUAACUCCUUAAUGAAAUUGCAUUGUUCCUGUUAUAUAGAGGGAUGGUGUGGUUAGUUAAUUUUUAAGGAGUUAGAAACAGUACCUCUAAAGUAGACGGUUUCUCAAAAAUAAAAUAAAAAGUGAGGCAAUUUGUGAGCAAUGAUUUUGUAUUGAUUAGCUUAUUACUUGUUUUAUUUAAGUGUCUGUUUUUUUUCCUGCAAUUAACCUGAUCGAUCCUUGACAUGGAGGAGGUUCCUGACAUUCUAAUAUGUUGGGCACAAAGGUUUGAGUAAACAAAUAAUAGCAAAUAUUAUUUAUAUCCUUCGUAUUAUUUGCUGUAACUUUAUUUCAAUAGGUAAAAACACAAUGUUUAAAAAAUGAACAACCAAAUAAUCCUCAAACACCAAGAAUUGGUACCUUUAGAGAGAGUGGCAUAGUGUUGUUUCUGUCAGAUGCGGCUCAGCGACCCACCGGAAUAAACAACGACUUGACGCUAAUGAAGUAAACAAUAUUGGUACUGAAUUUUAUUAUAAGUAUGAACUUGAUAUGUAGGAAACAUGUAGAAAUACACGCCAAUAAAAAGCGCCUCACCAAUAGAUUACUUCAAUGUCUAGUCUCCUUGAAUGCUCGCUCUGAGACUUCCUUUUCUGUCCACUUGGUUACAUUCUGCAAUCUUGGUUUGUUAUAAUGCAACAGACGCAUGUUUGCUUGCUCCUGGGACUCUUCCCUCCAUGUUCUAAGACCAAUAAGCAACAUGGUAAUACUUUUUAUAAAUUACUAUGAUAAUUAGUUAUAGAUUGAAAAUGGCAUUUGUUAAAUAUGGACACAUGGGAAGCAUAUAUACCAAAAUGUAAGAAGAUAUGUAUGAGUAAGGUGGCAUUAGUGGUAAGGGAGUGUAAAAUGCACUACAUGAGGAAUUCAGAACCCAAAACUUGGAAGGAUUGUUUAAUGACGUGUAAAACUAUCUUUGGGCUUAGAACUGAAAAAUCUCAGAGAAUAAAAAACAAAGUUAGGACUGAAAAGCUCGUAGAACUGAAAAAUGAGGACUCAAGCAUUAAACAUAAAGAGGCCUGCCUGGCGUAAAAAUCACAAACCUCUGGUUUGAAGGGUGCAUAUUCUACUAACUUCCUGUGUAAAUGAGGUACAAUAGACACAGUUUGAUAUGAGAAUGACGGAAACUUUGGAUCAAAAUAUUAACAGGAUUGGCAAACUAUAAGAAAAACUGUCAAAUAGUGCAGCACUGUCUAACUGCAUUUGUCUCAAAAAGAAACAAAUCGACACAGCAAGUGUAACUUCAUAAAUUAGGUUGAGCAUCAAGUCAAUCCCAUCAGCAAACCCUAGUGAGAGAGAGAGGGAGAGGUGACCUACAGAACAUCCCGUAAACGAAUAUUCCCGUAAAGUGAUUUCUAAUGUAACUAAAUAGUUCAAGGGAUAUUCCACGGUAACAAAUACAUGCAACCGAAAGAACAGACCUGCAGAUGGGAUGAACUGAUGCAAUUAACAAAGUGGCGAAAUGAAAUACCGAUGGAGCUUUCAGCAAUAUUGGGAUUUCAUCAACCACAUGAAUGGCAGAGUAAGUAUAAUAUUUAGAAGUUUUGGCGAAAAUUAACUACUUAUGAAGUUGUCAACACUUAUUGGCAUUUCAUCAAACAACUAAAAGGCUCUCACCUGUUGUUUAGAAAGUGCGUGAGAUGAGGAGGGGACACUAUGCAAAGUGACCAGCUAUUUGGAGAUUUAUGCUGCAGUGCUGCUGUCCGAAUCCCAGUGUCUGUAGACAGUACACGAGAUGAAAGCUCCUCCUCCUCCUAGAUUCAAAGGCCAGCAUACAUAGUCAAAUAAAUCCACGCAAACUCAAUCCAAUCGGGUGGAGGGGCAAAACGUCGAGCAUCUUUGAAGCCAGAGGGAAAACCUUUCAGAUAGAGGAAUCAAUGUUGGGGAUUGAAGAAAAAAGAAAAGAGGGCAUUCAAAACUGGAGUGACCAACUACCAGCCUGGAGACCGGUGGCAGAGGUGGCGACGGGAGCAGGCUGGUGUGCUUGCUGCCAAUGGCAGCGCUAGUGUAUUUAACCUCGAGUGGCGGUGGUUCAACUCAAUGGAGCAGUUUCAAUUCGAGCGACUUCAUGAGCAUUUGGGGGAGGAAGCGUUAGAUCGUGGAAGGAGCAUUUGUGGCGAGGAGGUGGUACGUCACGGCGGCGGACGGGCGGAGUAAUAGGAAUCGCAUCAGUUCUUUCUUUCCAGAAGAAUAAUCCGCGAGCCUGAAGCGGAAUAGAAACGGCGACCGCUUUUUUUCUGAAGGAACGCCCAUUGAAUCGCGACAUGACUCCGCGAGCCCACGAUGGCAUAUCUCGACCAGCCCACAUAUGACGAAGUGGCCCGUACGGGAAGGAACCAGCGAGAUGCGAGGAGGAAUGGCAGCCCAACACAGGAGGGGAAUAGGGGUGACGUGGCUGCACGAGAAACCCCGAAAAUGGGACCAACUAUUUAGAGAUAGAAGAUAUAGGGAUGUAGUUCUCCCUUGGAUAUAUUACGUGUAUCUCCAGAUCCAAAAAGUUGAUUUCAAGCCGGAAUGAUAACUUCUCCACCUGCAGGUGACGUCACUGCUUUGGUGUUUUAGCUGUCCCUUCCUGGCCAGUGUAACAUAUAUUCUCCACAGUGUUAAGGAACUUGAUGAGCUAGAGAUAUUGUGUUCCUCUUUGAAUAAAGUUCCUUGUGAUGGAUGUAAUCUUUUGGACCCAAAUUUGGCUACACCAUGACUUUUGCCAUCUCAGUGCAUAGAAUGUCAGCUAAAUAAUUAUGUUGUUAUGCAUAAAUGAUUUGCUGUUCUGACAAUAGAAUAUGCAUUACUCUAAAAUA